rnacentral:tRNA from 1 species
GCCGGAGUUAGCUCAAGUGGCAGAGAGCCGCACUCGUAACGCGGGGGGCGGGGUUUCGAGUGCCCCCUUCGGCUCCA